CGAACAGUUUCUUUCUCACAGCCUGCUGACAUAACGGUCUUCCCUUGGAGUAUUUCAGUCCUUGCUCAUCUUGGGAUUAAUGGAACCAGUACUUACAGCUGCAGUGCCAGAGGCAGGACCCAUAUAUUUCUUUGACCAGAUGAAAGCUAGAAUGAAAGAGAGGGACAGGGAGAUAUCAGGAGAAGUGUCCUCGUAUUGCCACGCGCUCACUACAAAUCCUCAUCCCAUCAGCUGUACUCCCAGCCUGACUGAAGGCAGGAAUCCCUUCUGCGCAGGGGAGUAUACAGAAAGACAUGAAGAUGGUUUCUUAAAUGUUGAUACAAAAAAAGAGAAAGAUCCAGUUUUGCAUCAAAUAUCUCAUCAUUCCCUGUAUAAAACCACUACAGAGGACUCAAACCCAAAGGUCUCCCAACGUGCUCUGAUCCCACAGGCAGACAAGGACUCACUCACCACUUAACAUGUUGAAUAAGUCUGCAUCUGCAACUUGGGGAGAAGUGGCAGCUCCUGGCUAGGUAUCAGACUGGUUUUCCACUGGAACUUGUAACUGUGCUUACCUGCAGCUGGAGGGAACUCACUGUGAGGGCUGAUUUCUGUAAACAGCAGCAGAAGUUGCUAUCAUACAGAAGCAUGAGAUCCAGGAGAAGCCAGGCCUCAGAGGAGGUUAAGAAUAGUACUCUGGCAUCCAAAUGUAAGGAGCAUGAAAUCACUGCCAUCAGAAAAGAACAACACAAGAAAGGCUUUAUUCUAUCAUCCUGCACUACAAAGGGAGAAAUAAAUCCUGAGACAGCAUCAAACGCACCUUCAGAAAGUGAAGGUAAUACAGUGCUGCACAAAUGUGCUGUGUUGUAACGUUUGGCCAAAAAAAAGGAAAAAAGUGCUUUCUGUUAAGAAUACACCAUUGGCUGGAUAGGCCAAUGUGCUCCAGCUUAUAACUGGAUAUACUGCAGUUCUUUGCAAAGCACUGGUUUAGGACAUGAUGAAAUAGCUUUGCAGCUGAAGCAAGAGGUACAAACACUUGAGAAGAACAAAGCCGGUGAAACUGGGCAAUGUUUCAAGUCAUUUAGCAAAGCAUUUUUAGUCUCCUCUUUCAAGGUGAGUGAUAGAGUCAUAACACAUUGCACCAGUAGAGAAGAUUUGCAUCUAAAGCAUUUCAUUCUGCGAGUAUCAGUGAUUGCAAGUGCUGAACCUAGUGUUGGGAAGAAGCCUGUUACAGUUCUCCAGGUAAUUCUCACCUCUUUAAAAAGAAAUCAAUAAUAAUUUUUAAAAGCAGACUUACCUUUCCAUGUGUGUUCCUAAGCACUGCAUUCUCCUUUCUUUGUGUUUAGCUCCUGCUGUGCAAAAUGAUGCUGACCAGUCACCCAUCACAGUCAGCUUCUCACUUUCAUCCAACAUUUGUGAGGAACAAGGUUUGAUUUUCCAGCUUUCUAACCCAAAGUCUGAAGACGUUCAUCAGAAUCUGCCUUAUGUGUGGACCCUGGUGAGACCUGAGCAAGUUCAAAAACAAAUAAAAGAGCAAGCAUUUAACCUGAAAGAAGUUGGGUUUGACAAACCAAUUAUUCUACAGCAUUAUGGUGAUUACAGAGGAGAAACUUUCCCCAGGACAUGGAAGGUUCAGGCUGGCAGGACUGUCACAUCAAAGCUGCCAUAUGACAAACCUCAGAUUCCAGUGGUCAAGAGAGCAAACACAGCACAGAGAAAACUGCACUACAGACUGAAUGAUGGCUCAUCCUUCAUUUAAUAUCCUUUCUUAAGCUCACUUAAAUUCCUGUAAGUGUGUGAAAGGCAGGGGGAGGACUUCUACCGAAGGACAAUCACACAGCGUGUAGCUGAACCGCUUCCAAAAUCCAGCUACAUAUAAAAGAACAAGACUUUAUUCUUUGGGCUUCUUAUCAGACUCUAUUUAUAUGGUACCACAUCUAUAGUCGGUCUACAACAGCAAAGCCCAGUGUGCGUCAGGUGGGUUGAAAGGCAUAAAAAAAAAAAAAAAACCCAAAAAAAACUGCAGAAUGAACAAUGCAGUUUUAAAUUAACAGUAUCAGACUGCAAACUAUUUAAAGUAUGACCUUGUCGUGAACAAAGACCACUUUAUCAAUCACAAACAUAAUCACAAACAUCAAGAUGUAUUAGGAACUGUGCAAGUCUGCUCUGUUACAAGUCCACAGAAGACACCAUGCCUCAUAAACCUACUUCUGAGUCAUACAUUGCUCCUGCAAAGGACACUUUUGACCUGUACCAGCAUGAGUUUCCUGCUAUCUUUUAUUAGUUCAGUAACGUGAAUUUUGUGCUGAGAGCUUUGCCUGCUCAUCCUCUAUCACUCCCAAUCCACUUAUUCAAGGAAGAAGAUGACUGGGUUGGUAGCUUCGCUUUCUCUUAUGCACAUGGACUGAAUACCCUGUCUUAGAGCUGAUGAUGUUAGUCCCUGUGUUCUCUGCAUGGUUAAGUAACAGAAGCUACAGAGUUGGAGAGAGAAUGAUAACUUAACUCCUUGACUCUCAUUUUAGCUAUCCAUCUGAAUAUCUUGCGGUUUGCCAGAGCUGCUGCAAUCUCCCAUGUAGGGGGAUGUAUACCAACAUAUUUAGCCCUUCUCCAGAUCAUUCUAUAGGUGGAACUUUCACCUCUUUUGGACAUGGCAGCAUCUAUCUUCCUAACAGGUAGGCAGAUGCACUACAAGCUGUUGUUUGAUUCUGCGAAUUAGAGCCGAGAGCACAAAGCUAUACAAGGAUCUGAGCAACGUUCAAAACCAGAAUAGACAUGAGAAAAGUGGUAUGUUGUUUCUACAACAAAUACAAGUUUCUAUAACUCAGCUGGGUGUCUGACAGUGGGUUGGGUUUAUUUUGGUUGUUUUUCACCUACCCUUUUUCACUAAAAAAUGAAAGCUGAGCUUAGUUUUAGGUAACCAAACUCUUGCACAGACAGACUCGUAGUCCAUAGGGAGUCUGACAUUAGAGAAGAUCAGCAUCCAGAAGUGUGGAAAGAUAAAAGAAGACCCCUUCCGACUUGUUCAUGCCUCCUGGAGGUGAAGAAGAAACCUGUCCUCUCUGAUUCCCCUCUAAGAGUCAAAUGCCAUCAGGUGUUCAAGCAGCCCAAAAGCACUCUGUUAACUAAACUGCUGAGCUAGACAGAAGUCACUCGGAAAAGAGAAUUCCUAAUUUGUGACACCAGUGCUGUGAGGACAGGAUGCACUUUGGCUUACUGGAAAAUUCCCACAUACAGAGGAGACGGUGGGCAAAUGAGAGCCAGCCUUCUGGCUGCCUUGAACACAUAGCAUGAGGUGUGUGUGGAUGGCUGUUGCACACAGUCAGAAGUCAUCCUCUUCCUCCAUCACUUCAUCAGCAGUUCUCUUCUGGAUAUUGUUGCUAUCUGUUUAUAUCUCUCCAUGUAGUUCUCUGCACCUGUACAUGAUGUGGGCAAAGGUUAUCACUGAUUCUUAGUUACCUGAUCUUCGCCUAAUUCUCCUCUUCUUUGCUCCUUUAGUGACUUCAGAGUACUCAAGAAAUCUGGGAUCAAAAUUUAAUGCUCUGCAGAGAGGAAUAGUAGCUAAAAAUGAGGGACUUGCUGAUUUGCAGCUGCCUUCAUUUGUAAGGAAGUGAAGAUCAUUGGCUGAUGGCUGAACUUUUGGGAUAGGAGGAAUGUUUUACUGGAGCUGUGUGAGCAAGGAUUUUUCAGGUCUUGUAUAAAAGCACUGAAGAGAGUUCAGUGCCCUCACAGCUAGUGGAAGGAGGUGGCCCUUGUUGACAAAAAGUGUCCAGGUGUCCAAAAAUAUAUAUUUUAAACAGUUCUCAUUAAAGAAUUUAAAUAACACCUACCCAUUUUACCUAUACUAGCCAACUUUAUAUUACAGAAAAGCAAACAAAAAUAAUAGGGAAUAUAAAGUGCAAAGCUAAAAUCUCAGGAUUCCUCCUGAGACUUGUCAGCUGAAGCCUAAUGCAUUAAUGCCAUCCAUGUGCCAUUUUAGUUGAUUUGUUUCUUCCUUUAAAUUUACAGUCAAAUUUGAAAUGUUUUAGAACUUCCAGGACUGUAGCGGUAAGUGAAAAGGGCAGUGAAAUCACACUGUUUGACCCCAGCUUCUUUCUGCUUUGAAUUAUUAAUACAAGAAUUAAACCCCAACUUUUGUCUGUAGCAAAAGGACAGUGGUUUAUACCUUCCUUACAAGCCUGUAGCAUGAGAAAAGCUGGGUGAAGGAGUGGCUAUGUAAAGCGGCUUUUUAAUUAGAGACUCCUAGAUCAAAGCAAGAUUCUUGGAUUGUUUAAGGUUUUCCUGAGAUACACCAGGAAAAACAGGUUUCACAUUUCUGCCUAUUUACAGCAACACUGUAACCAUGAUGUUUAAUCAGGAAGGAGGUCUGGUGACUAAUGAAGAUGAAGAAAUGGUCAGAGAAUGGAAAUGGCCUCGGGAUGGCAAGCUGGCCCAGCCAGUUAUAGCACGGGUAAUAGUUAAAGCUUUACCUUUUUUUACUGUUCUUACCUCUUGCUUUCUCCCCCUCAUCCCUUAGUCUCUCUGAGGUGUGUGAAUCGUAAGGAACACAGAGCUUACAUUUCUUCUUCUCUAACAGGCUUUAAAAUGAAUAGUUUUCCAAACAACCUCUACGUGAAUUACCUCUUUUUUUAACUCCUGUUGCUCCUUCAGGCUAAGAAAGAAAAGCAGAUUGCCUACAACUGUUGUAACUCGGGAUUUCAACAAACAAGAAGCCUAUCCUCCCUGCUAGAUGCAUUUUGGAAGAGUCUUUUCUUUCUAGUCAAUAUGAACAAGCUAUUUCUCACAUUUCUCUUGGGCAUGUUCAGUAGCAGGCACUUAUUUGCCUGACUUCAGUCCUGAUCCAGCUCCCACUGAGGUGGGAGCCUCCCACUGCUUUGUAGUUACCAGAUCUCAGCUUAAAAUGCUGCAAAAUUACCAGAAAGGCAGGUAAAACAUUUGCAAUCCAAGUCAGUAAGCAUGCCUUCGGGCACAGAGUUGGUAAAGACACAUUAUUUGGGUCAAGUCGGGAGACUUUUUCUUCCUUUCUACUUAAUACAGGGCUACUGGUGGCAUCCUUGGUAUUUUGUACAAGGCACAUCUAAGACUGACGGAAUGACAUGUAGCUGAACACAUAACAGGUUUCUGUCACUUGGCUCAUACUGCCCAGGCUGCUGCUGAUAGGAAGGAGUGACUUCAAAUAAGCAAAUGGCAAUGAAAAUCUUACAGCUGCUAUGACUGAUAUAGAUAGACACUCACUCUUCUUUGGGUUUGAUAUGUUCUAUAUACUGACCUCUGUUUACUCUCUAAGGUCUGCAAGAGUUUGAGAUGCCUGCAAUAUGCUUUAUCUGCAGUUUUGACUUCGAUAGACUCUGUAAAGAUUAUGUCAGAUAACUAUUGAAACAGUUUGAAAUAUCAAGUACAGAUUAUGGAAUGUUGCUGUGAAUUAUGUGCUGUAGCAAAUGGAUGUAUUUCAAGAGUCACAUGAAAACGAAUGCAAGUUCAGUAAAGCCAUUAGUAUCUGCAACACACUUCUUACUUUGAAUAAGAAGGAGUGUCAGAGACUGGAAACAGGUGAUGCAAACUGGAUUAAAUAGAAGAUAGGAAAAGUGGUUCUAAGUGCCCUGCUUGGUGUCACCGGGUCAUUUUUCAUGGGCUGUGUGUGCAGGCAAUGCUAAAAGCUACAGUGACUAUUACUUCAAUAAAUUACAUCGUAUGCAUCAAAAUGCUAAUCUUUUUCUUGUGACUGAGCAGCCCAAACACUGCCUACUCUCACUAACAACAGCAGUUACAGGGCAAGCACAGACUGGCUUCUCCUGAGUCUAUCCUUGUCUGUGACUCCACUGCUUCUCUGCCUUAGAAGAGUAGACACAUUUUCCUGAGUGGUUCUGAAAGUUUCUCGUGCCUUUCUGCUACACAGCAUCACCUUCCAACUCAUGCACAGUCUCAGAAUGUUUGCUCUGGGCAUGUGUCAUCCAGAUAAAGGGCUGGGAGUUAUCAUCUCUACCCACAGCUCACGUACCAGAAGGUAACUUUGCAAGAUUCACAUGGAGAGUGACAGCACUGAGACUUGUUUGUAGAGUAACUCAUGACCAACUGUCUUGGAUAACUAACCUGCUGAGACUUCACUCUGCCUCUUCCAUCCAUCAUAAAUGUGAAAACACGGUGGAAUUAGUAAGUCUCCUUUGUUGGUCUUUCAGGUUAAUGAAUUCAUCACAGUGAGGAUUGCAGGACGCUUUGCAAUUAGCUUGGUCUACAAGUGGCAACAUGAAAGUAUGUGCUUGUCUUUGUCACGGCCGCGGGGUGCGGCUCUUCCGCGGUUAGAAGAAUCGGUAUGUUGCAACUGCUGCAGUACUGCACUUUAUCAACUUUGUUCUGCAGAUUCUGGAACUGAUGAGCUUUUCUAUAAAAUAUGCUUCCCGAUGUUAGCACUAAGAGCAGUGCUACAGAGUGAUCAAAUUAGGCCUUCCGGAGAGUGAAUAAAAAGCAGAUUUAUGCUGAUGACUACCUACUACAGAUCUGGCCCAAAGGGACACAGCUUUCCACGCGCUUAGAUUCCUAUUUAUGCUUCCUCCCCCCCCCCAGACUUAGCCCAGUACGAGGUGGUUAUACCUUUUUGUGCUGCAGAUGGUGUACUGAAUGAUGCCCUAAGAAAUCCUGAUCCAAAUCUUCCUUUCCUUCAUUUCUGUGCAGUGAGCUGGCUGUCUAUCUAGGUUUAUCAUCUAGCCAAAGCCUGAUAUCUUCAUGUCUUUCAGUUCAAUGUUGGGUUGAAAUACAUGUUGUUAGAACAGAUUUUUGUGUGUGUGUGAUUUUGGGGUCAGGAAAAAAUAGUUAUGAAACAAUUGUUGGAAAAGCAGAAGAAAUCUGUCAUCCAAGUAAAACAAAAAUAAAACAGAUCACGCUG